rnacentral:misc_RNA from 1 species
GAUGAAGAACGUAGCGAAAUGCGAUAAGUAAUGUGAAUUGCAGAAUUCAGUGAAUCAUCGAAUCUUUGAACGCACAUUGCGCCCCCUAGUAUUCUGGCGGGCAUGCCUGUUCGAGCGUCAUUUCAACCAUCAAGCCCUGCUUGUGUUGGGGUCCUGCGGCUGCCCGCAGGCCCUGAAAACCAGUGGCGGGCUCGCUAGUCACACCGAGCGCAGUAGCACAUCUCGCUCAGGGCGUGCGGCGGGCUCCAGCCGUUAAAGCACCCACCUUUCGCAAGGUUGACCUCGGAUCAGGUAGGAAUACCCGCUGAACUUAAGCAUAUCAAUAAGCGGAGGA